rnacentral:rRNA from 1 species
GACGAACGCUGGCGGCGUGCCUAAUACAUGCAAGUCGAACGCUUUUUCUUUCACCGGAGCUUGCUCCACCGAAAGAAGAAGAGUGGCGAACGGGUGAGUAACACGUGGGUAACCUGCCCAUCAGAAGGGGAUAACACUUGGAAACAGGUGCUAAUACCGUAUAACACUAUUUUCCGCAUGGAAGAAAGUUGAAAGGCGCUUUUGCGUCACUGAUGGAUGGACCCGCGGUGCAUUAGCUAGUUGGUGAGGUAACGGCUCACCAAGGCAACGAUGCAUAGCCGACCUGAGAGGGUGAUCGGCCACACUGGGACUGAGACACGGCCCAGACUACUACGGGAGGCAGCAGUAGGGAAUCUUCGGCAAUGGACGAAAGUCUGACCGAGCAACGCCGCGUGAGUGAAGAAGGUUUUCGGAUCGUAAAACUCUGUUGUUAGAGAAGAACAAGGAUGAGAGUAAAAUGUUCAUCCCUUGACGGUAUCUAACCAGAAAGCCACGGCUAACUACGUGCCAGCCGCCGCGGUAA